rnacentral:lncRNA from 1 species
GAUAGAACACAGCAUGUUUAGAAUAUUCCUGGAACAUCUGGAAAGAAAGGAAACAUUUCAAGGUUGACUCUGUUAUUGGUUACCUCUCCCUUGUCAAGCAGCAGUCACUUUCAAUGGCAGGUGCAUGGUGAUGUGGAAGAGGCAACUGUCGGAGCCCUUGGCUGUUCCCCUUCACUGGAAGAAUUGGCAUCCAAAAAAGAAACGAGUACCGAGGCAGCCAAAGACGAGAGCUGAGGAGGGCCUAAGAAUAUCGGAAAUAAAAUGUGUGACAACAUCGAAAUGGAUCUGACAUUUUCAUCUCCUAAUUGUGAAACUGCUGCAUGUUUGGGUUCAGCGAGUUUCAUGAUAUUAAUGUACAACUAAUAACUAGAAUGAGAGACCAAAUUGCCAAUAUCCGCUGGAUAAUGGAGAAAGGUAGGGAGCUUCAGAAAAACAUCUAUUUUUGUUUUAUUGACUACUCUAAAGCCUUUGACUGUGUGGAUCAUAAUAAAUUGUGACAAGUUCAUGGUGGUAUGGGGAUACCAAGUUACCUUGUCUUUCUCCUGAGGAAUCUGUAUAACAACUAAGUAGCAACAGUAAGAACAAGGUGAAAGAAGAAAGUGCAAAAGCUGGGUUGCAAUUAU